rnacentral:rRNA from 1 species
GACAAUGGUUGAAAGACUGAUCCAGCCAUGCCGCGUGCAGGAAGACUGCCCUAUGGGUUGUAAACUGCUUUUAUACAGGAAGAAACCUCCCGACGUGUCGGGAGCUGACGGUACUAUAAGAAUAAGGACCGGCUAACUCCGUGCCAGCAGCCGCGGUAAUACGGAGGGUCCAAGCGUUGUCCGGAUUUAUUGGGUUUAAAGGGUACGUAGGCGGGACUUUAAGUCAGUGGUGAAAGCCUCCAGCUUAACUGGAGAAUUGCCAUUGAAACUGAAGUUCUUGAAUAUGGAUGAGGUGGUUGGAAUAUAACAUGUAGCGGUGAAAUGCUUAGAUAUGUUAUAGAACACCAAUUGCGAAGGCAGAUCACUAAACCAUUAUUGACGCUGAGGUACGAAAGCGUGGGGAGCGAACAGGAUUAGAUACCCUGGUAGUCCACGCCGUAAACGAUGUUCACUCGCUGUUGGCGAUAUACUGUCAGCGGCCAAGCGAAAGCAUUAAGUGAACCACCUGGGGAGUACGAUCGCAAGGUUGAAACUCAAAGGAAUUGACGGGGGCCCGCACAAGCGGUGGAGCAUGCGGAUUAAUUCGAUGAUACGCGAGGAACCUUACC